CACGUAGGGGGCGAGCGUUGUCCGGAUUUAUUGGGCGUAAAGAGCUCGUAGGCGGCUUGGUAAGUCGGGUGUGAAACCUCCAGGCUCAACCUGGAGACGCCACUCGAUACUGCCAUGGCUAGAGUCCGGUAGGGGAGCGUGGAAUUCCUGGUGUAGCGGUGAAAUGCGCAGAUAUCAGGAGGAACACCAGCGGCGAAGGCGGCCCACUGGCUCGACACUGACGCUGAGGUGCGAAAGCGUGGGGAGCAAACAGG
rnacentral:rRNA from 1 species